GACGAACGCUGGCGGCGUGCUUAACACAUGCAAGUCGAGCGGUAAGGCCCUUUCGGGGUACACGAGCGGCGAACGGGUGAGUAACACGUGGGUGACCUGCCCUUAGCUCUGGGAUAAGCCUGGGAAACUGGGUCUAAUACCGGAUAUGACUCCAUGACGCAUGUUGUGGGGUGGAAAGCCUUGUGCGGCUGAGGAUGGGCCCGCGGCCUAUCAGCUUGUUGGUGGGGUGAUGGCCUACCAAGGCGACGACGGGUAGCCGGCCUGAGAGGGCGACCGGCCACACUGGGACUGAGAUACGGCCCAGACUCCUACGGGAGGCAGCAGUGGGGAAUCUUGCGCAAUGGGCGAAAGCCUGACGCAGCGACGCCGCGUGAGGGAUGACGGCCUGGUGUAAC
rnacentral:rRNA from 1 species